rfam:Camelus ferus unplaced genomic scaffold scaffold854, whole genome shotgun sequence.
GCCUAUGGCCGUGCCACCCUGAACGAGCCCAAUCUUGUCAGAUUUCAGAAGCUAAGCAGGGUCGGGCCUGGUUAGUAGUUGGAUGGGAGAAGAUAAGCCUUGGAAAAUAUAAUGGAGUAGGCC